AUUGAACGCUGGCGGCAGGCCUAACACAUGCAAGUCGAGCGGAAACGAGUUAUCUAAACCUUCGGGGAACGAUAACGGCGUCGAGCGGCGGACGGGUGAGUAAUGCCUAGGAAAUUGCCCUGAUGUGGGGGAUAACCAUUGGAAACGAUGGCUAAUACCGCAUGAUGCCUACGGGCCAAAGAGGGGGACCUUCGGGCCUCUCGCGUCAGGAUAUGCCUAGGUGGGAUUAGCUAGCUGGUGAGGUAAGGGCUCACCAAGGCAACGAUCCCUAGCUGGUCUGAGAGGAUGAUCAGCCACACUGGAACUGAGACACGGUCCAGACUCCUACGGGAGGCAGCAGUGGGGAAUAUUGCACAAUGGGCGCAAGCCUGAUGCAGCCAUGCCGCGUGUGUGAAGAAGGCCUUCGGGUUGUAAAGCACUUUCAGUCGUGAGGAAGGUAGUGUGUUUAAUAGAUGCAUUAUUUGACGUUAGCGACAGAAGAAGCACCGGCUAACUCCGUGCCAGCAGCCGCGGUAAUACGGAGGGUGCGAGCGUUAAUCGGAAUUGCUGGGCGUAAAGCGCAUGCAGGUGGUUUGUUAAGUCAGAUGUGAAAGCCCGGGGCUCAACCUCGGAAUAGCAUUUGAAACUGGCAGACUAGAGUACUGUAGAGGGGGGUAGAAUUUCAGGUGUAGCGGUGAAAUGCGUAGAGAUCUGAAGGAAUACCGGUGGCGAAGGCGGCCCCCUGGACAGAUACUGACACUCAGAUGCGAAAGCGUGGGGAGCAAACAGG
rnacentral:rRNA from 1 species